rnacentral:tRNA from 1 species
GCCCCCAUCGUCUAGUGGCCUAGGACGUCGCCCUUUCAAGGCGGUAGCACGGGUUCGAAUCCCGUUGGGGGCAC